rnacentral:rRNA from 2 species
AGAGUUUGAUCCUGGCUCAGGAUGAACACUGGCGGCGUGCCUAACACAUGCAAGUCGAGCGAAGCACUUUGCUUAGAUUCUUCGGAUGAAGAGGAUUGUGACUGAGCGGCGGACGGGUGAGUAACGCGUGGGUAACCUGCCUCAUACAGGGGGAUAACAGUUAGAAAUGACUGCUAAUACCGCAUAAGACCACAGCACCGCAUGGUGCGGGGGUAAAAACUCCGGUGGUAUGAGAUGGACCCGCGUCUGAUUAGCUGGUUGGUAAGGUAACGGCUUACCAAGGCGACGAUCAGUAGCCGACCUGAGAGGGUGACCGGCCACAUUGGGACUGAGACACGGCCCAAACUCCUACGGGAGGCAGCAGUGGGGAAUAUUGCACAAUGGGGGAAACCCUGAUGCAGCGACGCCGCGUGAGCGAAGAAGUAUUUCGGUAUGUAAAGCUCUAUCAGCAGGGAAGAAAAUGACGGUACCUGACUAAGAAGCACUGGCUAAAUACGUGCCAGCAGCCGCGGUAAUACGUAUGGUGCAAGCGUUAUCCGGAUUUACUGGGUGUAAAGGGAGCGUAGACGGAUGGGCAAGUCUGAUGUGAAAACCCGGGGCUCAACCCCGGGACUGCAUUGGAAACUGUUCAUCUAGAGUGCUGGAGAGGUAAGUGGAAUUCCUAGUGUAGCGGUGAAAAUGCGUAGAUAUUAGGAGGAACACCAGUGGCGAAGGCGGCUUACUGGACAGUACUGACGUUGAGGCUCGAAAGCGUGGGGAGCCAACAGGAUUAGAUACCCUGGUAGUCCACGCCCGUAAACGAUUGACUACUUAGGUGGUCGGGUGGCCAAAGCCAUUUCGGGUGCCCGCCACCAAACC